ACUACUUUUUGUACUUCAUUAUAUGGGGGAAGUUUUGCCAGGACAUGUGUAAUAUUGUCAAUUUUUGCUCCAGGAAAACUAUCUAUCUGCAAUAUCUCUAUUUGAUAUUCCGGGAGUCGGGAUAAAUUUGAGUCCCCAAAGAUCAAUAACAGCUUAAUUGGGGUCAAUUCCCAUUCCACAUUUUUUCGCCCCCAGUUCAUCCCCCGCAUUUACGGGUGGAAGAUUGGGUCCCUGUUCGGGUGUGGGUGAGACGGUGAUGGACAGAGCUUGUGAAAAGACGGCCCCCUUCGAUCGACGAGGAGUGGUGGAAAGGCCGCCGGGUCCAAAUGUGGAGCUGCUGUUUCCACUGAGGUCUCUGCGUGUUCCUGGACCAAGGAGUGGCAAGAUUUGGAGAAGACGGUUUAAUGAAAGCCGUUAGUUUUUUGGCCUGUCUCAGCAUACCCACUGGAAGCUCUCCUGUGUUCUCAGCUUUUGAUAUCACGCUUGAAUGGGAUCCUCUGAGGUAGAGGCUGCCAGCGCGGGUAGCAACAGGAUCUGGGGGCUUGAAGGUAGCAACAGAUGGCGAUGGAGUGAAAUGACUGCCGAAAAUGUAACGUCGCCAUCCUGGGGGAAAAAAAACAAAAAAAACACUUUGGCCCAUCGGCACCGGCCUGUCCAACAGAAAACAGGCCAACAGUGUGUCGCUCUUCAUCCUCCUCCUCCUCUCCCUCA